CACGGCAAGCUCGGGCUGCUCCGCCUCGGGCCUCCUGCGCGCCGUCACAGCGGCUCCCGCGCAGCCGAGGGCUCCUCUGCAGAAGUCCUGAAGGAUGCGGAGCUACACCGCGGGCUUGUCUACUCCUGCCGACGGUGACGGCGCCCCCGCAGAGCCCCUUUCCCGCUCUGCUGUGGUUUGGAAGAGGGAGGCUCCAGUCCGUCCGCAGAGGACGAGGCCGUGGGUUCGAGAAAUCCUCGUAGUGCUUCCUAGAGUUAACGCGGGCCCAGAAGCAUUACCAGUUCCAAGAUAUUUUGCAAAUAUUCUGGAACACAUUAGCAGAGGAAGGAGUAACUUUUGGGAGUGUUAUAAACAGGUGUGGCAGAGACCGCAGCGCUCACAAUAUUUGACACCUGUGCUCCUCUCGUCCUCCUGGGCAACCACUGGACCACACCCCCAGCCUCCCUACAGUCAGAUGGAGCCACUGACUGGGUUCCGGCCAAAGAAAUGGGAGCAGACAUAA
rnacentral:lncRNA from 1 species